rnacentral:lncRNA from 1 species
GGAGAGGCUAAGAAGGAAAUGAGAAGAGUGAAAUAAGAAGUCCAGGAUAGUGAGUUAUCCUGGAGACAAAAGAAGAAAAUGUUUCCUUGAACUUGCUUGUCAAAUGCCUCUUUAAAAAGAAAGUGAAGAUAACUGCAAGUCAGCUGGAAGUGCUGCCAAGAUAUGACCUCCAGGAAGGCCCAGAAGACAAGUGAUAUUGUGUGGACUGCUACAGCGCAAUGUCUAACUGAUGCAAAAUGAAGAAUCAAUUUGAAAUUAAGAUGAGUAAAGGCAUCCAGCACUUACAGCAAAAAACAUUGUCAUCAGGCCCUGGGGAGAUGAGGACACCUCCCUUCCCUUCUCAGGCUCCCUUUCCCUGUCAGACUCUAGCUCUCAAAGGCUGUCAUCCUCCAAGGGUAUUCCCUACGUACUGCAUAGCAUCUCUGUUACCCUUUGAAUUCAACAGUAUUCAUCUCCUCCAACAUUCAUUCAUUCCUUUAGUCAAAAGUCAGUUGUCAAACACAAGGCACAAGUGCACAUUUAAGGAAUUCAUGGCCAAUAUUUGUCAUGUCAUUUCAUGAAUUGUCUGAGAAACAUAAAACAUACAAUGAGGAUACUGAUCCAAGAUACAUGGCACACAAUUAAAUUGCGAAAAACAUGACUCUGAGUCCAAAAGUUCUUAUUUUUUCACAGUCUUCAGAGUAUUGUAUAGACCCCUUGAAAAAUAAAUUUGCAGAGUGUGAAUGUUAAUUACUGUCACCUUCAGAAAAGAGAUUUUACACAUGUAUAAAAGAGAAAUAGUGAC